rnacentral:lncRNA from 1 species
GCCGCCAUUUGCAAACACGAAGGCAAACCGUUACACUUUCCUGGGAGCAAAGCCGCUUGGGACUGUUACUUUGAAGCUUCGGAUGCGGAUUUGAUUGCGGAGCAACAUAUAUGGGCGGCGGUGGAUCCGUACGCCAAAAACGAAGCCUUUAAUGUGACUAAUGGGGAUGUUUUCAAGUGGAAGCAUUUGUGGAGCGUUUUGGCAGAGCAAUUUGGGAUAGAAGAAUUUGGGUUCGUGGAAGGGGAGAACCGGGGGAUGGAGGAGAUGAUGAAAGAGAAGGAAGGAGUUUGGGAAGAAAUAGUGAAGGAGAACCAGUUGCAGAAGACGAGUUUGCAGGUGGUGGGAAAUUGGUGGUUUACGGAUACGAUAUUUUCGGCUCCGUUGCAGAUGCCGCUGCUCAGUAUGAAUAAGAGCAAGGAGCAUGGGUUUUUGGGGUUUAGGAAUUCCCGGAAUUCAUUUGUUACUUGGAUUGAUAAGAUGAAGGCUUACAAGAUUGUGCCUUGAUCUCAUUCAAUCUCUUGUUUCAAAUUGUUUCCUUGGUUUUUCAGAUGAAGAUGAAAUUUCUGUUGUUGUACUUCUAAAAUAAGUUCGUAGGGUAAGUUAUUAAUUGGCAUGCUACCGUAAGAUGUCAGAAACAAUUGCUUACCUUCAAAGAGAAGCUUCUGUUGUACUUGUGAAAAUGCUGUGUGGUUUUCUUUUCCCUUUAUUUGUUUAUGAUGCAUUGUCUAUUCUAUCUUGUAGAAUCUUGAAUUAUACUAUUUAUACUUGUUGAUUAGACAAAGUCUUGGCAAAUUUAUUGCAUAUCAGUUCAAUAUCAUGGUUAAUAGUUUCUGCCUGUGGGAAUGCUGUUAUAUGAUUAGCUUCCGUUAAGUGAUUAUACAUUUUAUAAUCAGCCUUGUUAUUUACUUGGUUUUAGCUUAUAGUUUUGAAUUACUCUUUCAGCUUUAGUCUUAGAUUUUUGGAAGCUUACUUUGUUUGAUUAGUUGCCUUCACUUUAUCUUUGUGGUGGUGCUUGAGAUAUGACCAUGGGGGAUGAUGACUACCAGUUAUGAAAAGGUUUGCAAGUGGUCCAUACGGUAGACAUUCCCUAGGCUGAUGAAGGGGUAAAUUCAUAUUGGCUUUAUAACAGCACAAAUGAUUCUGAGCUGAUACCCACCUUAAAGAACUUGCAGAGUUAACAGGCACGGAACUAUAUGGUGGUAACUUGUUCACCCAUUUGAGUUACUGUAUACUGAUAAUCUGUUCACCUACCUGGGUGCCUUUUCUUAUUUAAGUUUAUUUAAGGACCCUCUCUAACUUGACAACAGAGGAGAGGCUGAUCCAUCCAUUUGUUUCCCAAAUGCUGUGUUGAUUACUUUGUUAUUAUCUGGUGAACCUUGACAGCUACAUUUCGCAAUCAUGUAAUUAAUUUAGCUGCAAAUGAGUUAAAAGUAGAUAAAAGUAUCCUCGAAACCUUGAUACUAGAAUGUAGGUAGUAUUUUGUCCUUUUUAUUAAAAAAUUUGAAUAAAUCAAAGAAUAAAUUAGUUCUUUUGUUAACAACUGUCUGGUCAUUUCAUUAGAUCAAUUUUUAAUGGUGGAAAUUGAGAAAAUUGUUAACAAAAAAUAUUAGUUUGUUAUUUGAUCUAACGUAUAAGGAUUAAUUAUCAAAAUUUAGGGCAAAAUGUAAUAUAAUUUCUAGUACAAGAGUUUCUAUGGUUCUUGUACAAGUAAAAGUAUAAUGGAAGCUCUUGUAGGAGAAGUUGAAUUACAUUAAAAAAAUAGAUAGAUUAAUUCUUGUACAUUAAAGCAAACGGAUUCUUACAUUAAAAAUUUCAAUUAUUUCUAUUGUUAAAAAUUAGUUUAUGUACGCUUUGUGUAACAAUUUAUUAUUUUGUUAGUCAUGCUAAUUUUUACCAUAAGAAAUGAUUAACUUUUUUUUUUAUCUAAUGUAAAAGAAUUAAUUUAUUUAAUUUUAAAUUAUAAAGAACAAAAUAUAAUUUAUCAUUUGUAUAAUAAUUUUAUGUUGUAACUGAUGUUUGAUGAAUUCAACUUAAGAUUCUUUCCCUCAACUCUCAGGUUACUUAUAUAAAAUAGAAUUUUAAUCAAGAUUUAAAAUAAAAGUUUUUGAACGAAAAUUUAAUGUAAAUAAAUUUCAAAGUAACUACGUAAAAUGGGUCCAACCAAGACUUAAUGUUAGGUAAGAAUUUAAUUAAGUCAUUGAACAAUACAUCAGCUAUUACGUAUUGGUUUGGGAAAAUAAUGCGAAAGUCCUUUACCCUGUCAUUCACGAUUCAGGGUGAGUUUAGAUGGGCGGUGCGUUUAUUUGUGGUUAGUGUAAAAACAGCGGUGGCGGUGAGAUUAGAUAUUGUAGCGAUACUGUAACGUGAGACAAAAAACAAGCUAAACGCACCGCACCGCACCACAUCCAAUCGUCCAUCCAAACCCACCAUGAGGAAUAACAAGUACAAAAAAAUUUGGUGGAUGCUACAUCUUCUCCACAAUAACAAGUAAAAGGAACAGGGAGAAGUCUAAAAUUUUUGAAGGAUGGAAAUUAAAUUCUAUUUUUGUGAUUUUUAAAAUAUUAAAUUAAAUAUUUAUUAUUUUUAGGGAGCUAAAAUAUAAUUUUACUUUUUAUUAAUUUUAAAAUUUUAAAAAAAUUAAAAUAUUAAAUAAAAAAAAUUCUAUUUUAAGAAGAUUAGGCCGUAACCACAAAUUGUUUUUGCCUAUACCAAUGAUAUAAAAUGUAGGAUUGAAUUGAGAGAAAAUGUAAAUACUAAAAAAUUAAGUCAAUUUUUCUCAAAUAAUAAAAUUUUAAAAAGUUAAAUUACUAAAUCGAUAAAAUUAAAAUGAUAUAAAACUAAUACCAAUGUCACAUAUUCCUUUUGAUUUUUAUAUAUUUUAAUAUUUUAGUCACAUCUUAACCUAUAACAAAAGCGAACACUAGUCUUGAGGCUUAGGCUCCCUUUGGAUGCAACUGCAUCUCAGUGUGUUGGCUGUUUUAGGCUAAAAAAAAAUUACAACUGAAACGUUAGUAAACGCAAGGCUGUUUGGAAAGCAUUCUUCAGUGCGUUGAGAAUGCAUUUCACCUCUUAAUUUCAGACUGGAGCCUUUUGUUCCAGUGAAAAUUGGGUCACUUCAAUUGCUUUUUUUUUUCCUCUUUUACCCAUAUAUUCUUCCGUUACAUUCUUCUUCAGGCUUUUCUGAUGUUUGGUUACCCUUCUUCUCCCCUUUCCCCUUCCCCUUGGGUUGCAAAUCAGUGUUCUUGGAUUUUCUGUGUUUCUCUUUUUUUCUAAUUGAAAUUUUCAUUUUUUUCCUUAUUUGGUUUUGCAUUUUUUUUUAAAAUUCUGUGUUCUUGGAUUGACAAGAGCAAAAGUUCUUGAUCGGAAGUUCAAUAAUAAAACUGUCUUGCUUCAUUUCCAUUAUUUAUUGCUUGGUUAACAUUCUGUAAGGCCUUUGUAAUUAUGCUUCAAUAUCGUGUUUCAGUUUUGUUUUUUGUUGAUUAUUUUCUAAUCUUGAGUUUCCCCUGUUCUGCAUCAGAUAUGCAUGUACUAUGAGUCCAUAAUCCAUAUUAUUUCAGUGAUAACAUGGGGGGUGUACUGAGGACAUUGUUAUUUGAUCCCUCUUUUUUCUUUUUCUCUUAUUUAAGGGACUUACAUUUGUUAUGCUCAGGUGUAAACCUUGAUGGAAUCUGUUUUCACUUUUCUUUCUUAGAGAGUUUUUACAUAGCUUUAUGGCUCUGUAAUGAUGGUCAUUGGAGUAUAUCCGUCCUGUGGAUUUUUGAUCUAUCAUUCUCGUCUCCCAAAAAUAUUUUAAGUUUUACAUUUUUCCUUUUAUUUUCACUGGGCUUUGGGAGAGGUUGUUAAAACUUUUGCAAAACCAGUGAACUUUUGUGGUAUCUACCAGAUUGGUUCAAUCCCAUUUGCUUAUUUUCUUGGCAUAUGGUGGAAGUCGUGACUCGUGAAAAGCAUUAAAAAAUAGCUCGUUUUAGUAUGUAUAACCUAAGUUGUCGGAUUUUGGAUCAGUUAAUAUCCAGAAUCAAAGAAUCACUGCAAACGUGAUAUAUUGUUCUUAUGGUUCCUUGCUAUUCUGUAGAAUCGGUGAGUUUAUUUGCUAUUCUGUAGAAUCGGAGUUGUUCUUAUGAUCAAUGUUGCAAACUUUUGCUUCUAAAGAUGCUUGCAGUGGGAAUUUUUAUUGUUAGACUCCUGUGACUUCUUUUAUGACUCUUCAAUAGUCUGAUCAAUAAAGUCUUUGUUUUGAAUGGUUUUCUUUUGUUGCAAAGGAUGGUGCGCAGGAUGAAUUCAGUUUUAUGCUGUAUUUUAAAAUGCUAUGCUGUCUGUAUGCUGAUCUGCAUUUUAUUCUCUUGUGUUCUUUGUCUGGUGAUGUUCAAAUUGUUAGGGAGCUUGUUACAAAUUUGUUAACGGUUUUGUUUAUUAAUGUUUUCUCUGUUCAUUGUCUUGGCUUUUCUAAUCUAUUCAUCCUUAUUCUGCAGCAUAUUGAAGACUUGACUCAGGAAAAGUUUUCACUGCAACGAGCUCUUGAGGCCUCACGUACAUUAGCAGAAUCUUUGGCUGCUGAAAAUUCAUCUUUGACUGAGUUAUAACCAACAGGUUUGUUUCCAAAUAUUAGAUUAGCAGCAUUACCGGCUGUCAUGGUCAUGAUAUGUUUUUUUUAUCAGUUCAUCGUGCUUCUCCAUUGCAGCACUUUCUGUCAUUUCAUUAUCCUAAUUUGUAUUCUCAAUCCUUCUUAAAAAUCUCUUAAUUAUCUUACAUUUACUUUUCUCCCCAGAUAAGCAUUGUCAACCGGCUAAAAUCUGACAUGGAGAGCUUAGAAGAAGAAAUCAAGGCCCAACUGGUUAGUAUUUACUAUAUUUAGGUACUGGUAGUCACUUCAAAUUGUUAGAAAUAAUUGAAUCUCAUAUAACUACAUACCACUUUAUGUCAUAUGGUUAAUGCAAUGGUGUUUGUAUGGCCUGUGUCAUGUGUGCACAUAUGCACAUUGGUUUAGACUUGUUUGUGCUUAGAUAAAGUUCUAUCUAAAAAUUGAGAUACCUACUGCUGUCUAUUGCAUCUCUGGUGGUACCCAUUAACCAAAAAAUGCAGUACAAGGAACCCUCUUGAGGUUGUCCAUGUCUAUGCCCUUUGAUCUACACUUGAAGGGGCCUUAAGUAGUGCUAUCCCAAAGUUAUUAAAUAUUGGGUUUGUUUCGGUUUUAUAUUCAGGUUGGGCCUCUCAACCUAUUGCCUAUUGGUUUUAGGUUAGAUGCUUAAUAACUUUUUAUCUAUAAAAAUGAUCCUAAGGCUGGAGCUUGUCCAUUUUUCCUGGAUUCAAUCAAUAAGUCUUUGUUUUGAAUGGUUUUUUUUUUGUUGCAAAGGAUGGUGCACAGGAUGUUGUUGAACUUUGGCCUGCAAUGCAAUAGGAAACCAGCAGCAAACCAGCGUGCAGACCAGCAUCCAAGCUGAACCAGAUAAGCAGCAGCAUUUUGUUUAUUUUGUUUAUUUGUAACUUGAUUUAGUUGCAAUGUAAUUUAUACUUAAAGUUAGUAGGAGUAGUUGUUGAUUUAUGUUUGAUGUUAUAGCUGGUAUGUCAGCUACAUUUUGUUUGUAAUUCUAUCUAGGCUUUAGUCAUGUAUCUUAUACUUGACUCGUUCAAGCUUUUGAUGGUUUUUGAACCAUGAACAAUAAGAAAUGAAUCAGAUAUGUUGAUGAAGAAUUGAACAUGUGGUUUCUAUUGGAUUUCUUCUGAAAUUAAGAAAUGAAUCAUUUUUCAUUCAUCAUUGCAUUGCUUCAUCUUUAGCUCAAAUGUGAAUCAUUUUGCAUUUUCUCUUCUGAUGAAUAUUCCAAUCUAUUGGACAAAUACACUAGUGUGAUGUUGGAAACAUGGAUCUAGAUUUGAAUUGUAUGCCUUGGGUUUCAAUAUAAAUGAAGCAGAAAUUAUAUAUUUAAAUUUGAUUUAUUAUAUAAAUAGUAAGAAUAAAAUGAAAAGUAUAAAAAUAUUUUGAAAAUAUGAAUGUUACAUUUUUAAAAAUAUUUUAUCCAAUUUCUGUUUAAAUAAUGUUUUGAUUGAUUGUAGGCUAAACAGGGAUUUAACAAUGCUAAUGUUAUAAAGUCAUAUUUUGACGUCUUUAAUCUUAUAUUAUAACUCCAAUGUUAAACUAAAUCAAACUUAAAGUUUAACUUAAUUUUUAUCACCCCCAAUGUCUUAUAAUAUUGUAUUAGUAAAACAUUUUAAAGGAUUUGGUAUGUAGGCAAAAUUUCAUACAAACAUAGAUAACGAAAUUAGUUCAAUUGAGUAACACUGUUAAACCUUCUUGUUAAUUUGAGCUAUUCAGUAACUUAUGUGCUAGGAAUUAGUAAAAAUCAGCAGUAGCAUAUUUAUGUAAUUGUAAUAAUUCAUUUUUAAUUAUUUAUUAUUGAAAAUAAUUAUAAUUGUAAUAAUUUUUAAUCAUUUAUUAAUUUUAUAAUUGUUAAAUAAUUUUAAAAAUUUCUAUUAUAUAUCAUUUUUAAUCUAAUAUCCUUAAAAGUCAUUUUCUAUUUUCACCUCACCUCUACAGCUGCGUUUGAAUCCAAACGCACACUCCACCGCUAUUUCUAAUCUCACUGCUACAGUACCCAAUCUCACCGCUACAGUAACUAAUCUCACCGCCACCGCUGUUUUUAACCUCACCGGAGCUAAACACCCCCCAUCUAAACUAAGCCUUGGUUUAUGGCUUUAACUACAUUGCCUCUACUGUAACCCAAACCAUACUGUUGGACAAGCUUUAAAUCUACUUUUAAAAUUUUAUUCAGCAAACAUUCAUGACAUGGAAAUUUACUGUAUUUGAUGAAGCUUAAAUUUUCAUUUUUGCACAAUUAUGACAUGUUUAAGAUAAGCAAAGAGUUGUGACCAACUUAAAAGGUUUUACAACUUCAAUAUUUAAAGCUAUUAAAUUUAUGUUUGUUUCAUGUCUUAAUAGAGAAAAUGUUGAAUUAUUUUACUCAUGAAUUUUGUGGUUCUUCUAACAAUGGAUGGAGCUUGAAAUACUGUUAAGUUUGAAAACUCAAGGUUUGUGCAAAAUUAACGUGAGUAAAGAGAUCAGCAUCUAAACUUAUUCUCCCAAAUGCUUAUCCAACUACACAAAGGGCUGCCUAGAGACUGUUCAUUCAUCCAUCAUCUUACCGUUCGUGUUAGCUUGUUGAUUUGCGGUGUUGAUGGUGUUCUAACACAAAGGUUUUGUUUGAUAGAGUGAAAAGAAGAUUAAAAAGGGUUAGAAAAAUAGUAAGUCUUUCACGCUAAUUCUUGGUGGAAAUUUUGCUCAUCCAGAGUGGGUGUUGGCUGCGCUCCUAUUUGCAUUUCAAUCCCAAAAAGAAGAGUUUCCAUAUGUGAAUCCAAACAUCGUCACGGCUCUCCUCAUCCCUUUUGUCGUUUUCAUGAAUUGCUUGCUAUAAAUUGGCAACAAGGAGUAUUAAUUAAAACCAAGAACAAAAUCCUUUCCAAUCCAAUAUUUCAAAUCCCUUUAAUCUUCUUGAUCAAUAAAACCACCCCACCCAGAUUGUUGGUUAGCUAUCCCAUCAAAUCAUCUAUCAUCAAUUUCCUAACGUUUCCUUUUUGGUUUAUUGCCGUCUCCCACAAAUCUAAUCUAAGUUGUUUUAAAGAAAGAAAAUGAGCUGGUGGUGGGCUGGUGCUAUCGGAGCUGCUAAGGCAACUCUCCUUUUUCAUUGGCUUGCUGGAUUUCUGUUUGCCCUUCACGAAAUUGAUUCUUUUUCUUUGUUUUAAUUUUUGCAGAAGAAAUUUGAGGAAGAUGAAGCACCGAAAAGCCUCAAGAGCGUUGGGCUGAUCAUUGGAGUCACCGGCAUAGUUGGCAAUAGCUUGGCUGAAAUCCUCCCUUUAUCCGACACUCCCGGCGGCCCAUGGAAAGUAUACGGGGUGGCUCGUCGGCCCAGACCCAACUGGAACGCCAACCAUCCAAUCCAGUACAUUCAAUGCGAUGUAUCCGACCCGAAUGAUACCGAAUCAAAGCUCUCUCAACUUACCGACGUCACUCAUAUCUUCUACGUCAGCUGGACCAACCGAACAUCCGAAGCAGAGAAUUGUGAGAUCAACGGUUCCAUGCUUCGCAAUGUUUUGCGUUCCGUGAUCCCAAACGCACCCAAUCUCCGCCACAUCUGUCUACAAACAGGAGUCAAACAUUAUCUUGGACCGUUCGAGUUGUUGGGUAAAAUCCAACUGCAUGAUUCGCCUUUCACUGAAGAUUUACCGCGGUUGAAUGCUCCCAAUUUUUACUACCAUCAAGAAGACAUCCUCUUUGAAGAAAUCGAGAAAAAAGAAGGAUUAACGUGGUCGGUGCACCGACCCGCAGUCAUAUUCGGGUUUUCGCCUUACAGUUUAAUGAAC